CCUACGGGUGGCAGCAGUGAGGAAUAUUGGUCAAUGGACGAGAGUCUGAACCAGCCAAGUAGCGUGAAGGAUGACUGCCCUAUGGGUUGUAAACUUCUUUUAUAAAGGAAUAAAACGAGGCACGUGUGCCUUUUUGUAUGUACUUAUUGAUAAAGGACGGCUAACUCCGGGCCAGGAGCCGCGGUAAUACGGAGGAUCCGAGCGUUAACCGGAUUUAUUGGGGUUAAAGGGAGCGUAGAUGGGUUGUUAAGUCAGUUGUGAAAGUUUGCGGCUCAACCGUAAAAUUGCAAUUGAUACUGGCAGUCUUGAGUACAGUUGAGGUAGGCGGAAUUCGUGGUGUAGCGGUGAAAUGCUUAGAUAUCACGAAGAACUCCGAUUGCGAAGGCAGCUUACUAAACUGCCACUGACAUUGAUGCUCGAAAGUGUGGGUAUCAAACAGGAUUAGAUACCCCAGUAGUC
rnacentral:rRNA from 1 species